rnacentral:rRNA from 1 species
GACGAACGCUGGCGGCGUGCUUAACACAUGCAAGUCGAACGGAAAGGCCCCUUCGGGGGUGCUCGAGUGGCGAACGGGUGAGUAACACGUGGGUGAUCUGCCCUGCACUUUGGGAUAAGCUUGGGAAACUGGGUCUAAUACCGGAUAGGACUACGGCCUGCAUGGGUUGUGGUGGAAAGCUUUUGCGGUGUGGGAUGGGCCCGCGGCCUAUCAGCUUGUUGGUGGGGUGGUGGCCUACCAAGGGGUCGACGGGUAGCCGGCCUGAGAGGGUGUCCGGCCACACUGGGACUGAGAUACGGCCCAGAGUCCUACGGGAGGCAGCAGUGGGGAAUAUUGCACAAUGGGCGCAAGCCUGAUGCAGCGACGCCGCGUGUGGGAAGACGGCCUUCGGGUUGUAAACCUCUUUCAGCACAGACGAAGCGCAAGUGACGGUAUGUGCAGAAGAAGCACCGGCCAACUACGUGCCAGCCGCCGCGGUAAGAC